GGAAGCCUGAUUCGGCGCCUCCAUUGUUAGAAAUCUCUCUCAGGCUGGCGUCACCCUGUCCUGGUCCUGGAGGAAGCCUGAUUCGCCGCCUCCAUUGUUAGAAAGCUCUCUCAGGCUGAUGUCACCCUGUCCUGGACCUGGAGGAAGCCUGAUUCACCGCCUCCAUUGUUAGAAAGCUCUCUCAGGCUGACGUCACCCUGUCCUGGACCUGGAGGAAGCCUGAUUCGCCGCCUCCAUUGUUAGAAAUCUCUCUCAGGCUGGCGUCACCCUGUCCUGGUCCUGGAGGAAGCCUGAUUCGCCGCCUCCAUUGUUAGAAAUCUCUCUCAGGCUGGCGUCACCCUGUCCUGGUCCUGGAGGAAGCCUGAUUCGCCGCCUCCAUUGUUAGAAAGCUCUCUCAGGCUGAUGUCACCCUGUCCUGGACCUGGAGGAAGCCUGAUUCACCGCCUCCAUUGUUAGAAAGCUCUCUCAGGCUGACGCCACCCUGUCCUGGACCUGGAGGAAGCCUGAUUCGCCGCCUCCAUUGUUAGAAAUCUCUCUCAGGCUGGCGUCACCCUGUCCUGGUCCUGGAGGAAGCCUGAUUCGCCGCCUCCAUUGUUAGAAAUCUCUCUCAGGCUGGCGUCACCCUGUCCUGGUCCUGGAGGAAGCCUGAUUCGCCGCCUCCAUUGUUAGAAAGCUCUCUCAGGCUGAUGUCACCCUGUCCUGGACCUGGAGGAAGCCUGAUUCACCGCCUCCAUUGUUAGAAAGCUCUCUCAGGCUGGCGUCACCCUGUCCUGGACCUGGAGGAAGCCUGAUUCGGCGCCUCCAUUGUUAGAAAGCUCUCUCAGGCUGACGUCACCCUGUCCUGGACCUGGAGGAAGCCUGAUUCGCCGCCUCCAUUGUUAGAAAGCUCUCUCAGGCUGACGUCACCCUGUCCUGGACCUGGAGGAAGCCUGAUUCGCCGCCUCCAUUGUUAGAAAGCUCUCUCAGGCUGGCGUAACCCUGUCCUGGACCUGGAGGAAGCCUGAUUCGCCGCCUCCAUUGUUAGAAAGCUCUCUCAGGCUGGCGUAACCCUGUCCUGGACCUGGAGGAAGCCUGAUUCGCCGCCUCCAUUGUUAGAAAGCUCUCUCAGGCUGACGUCACCCUGUCCUGGACCUGGAGGAAGCCUGAUUCGCCGCCUCCAUUGUUAGAAAGCUCUCUCAGGCUGACGUCACCCUGUCCUGGUCCUGGAGGAAGCCUGAUUCGCCGCCUCCACUGUUAGAAUUCUCUCUCAGGCUGAGGUAAGAUUGACUUCCCUGCCGCUUCUCCCUGAAGACCCUAGUUCUGCUCUUUGAAGCCAAGCAAGAUUACUCUUUAUAGGGCAGCUUUGCCUGUAUUUGUAGAUAGCUUUUACACAUAUUUGCUCCCAAAUCAACAAGGUUUUCCCCAGGUACCACCUGGACUAUUCUUCUGUCAGCAUUUCUCACGUGAUACUGAAUCAGGAGCCUUUACUGUCCUCACCCUCAUGUGGGUGGGAGCCUGGUUUCUCAUCACUCUGGUUAGACUGUGCCUAAUGUGGGGUGCUGCUUUUUAAGGACAAUCAGCUCUAAGUUGAGGCUCUGAUUCUUGCACGUGCUUCCAAGCACGUGUCUUCUUGCCAUCUCCAUUGCCGCCCCAAAGUCACUCCCCUCAGACAGGGACGGCAGCAUCUCAGUCAUCACUCUGCACCCUAUUUGACCAGCUGGAGAGUCCUGUGUCUUCACACAACUGUGAGAAUGAUCAUUGGAAACUAUGCAUUCCAUAAUAGCUUUAUGUUAAAUUCAUUUCUCAUCUUUCAUUGGCCCUUGGGAAGAUGUCCAGAUCCCUUAACAUAGCUUAGGAAACCCUCUCAAAUUCACGGCCCACCUUUCUCUCCAACUUCAUUCCCCCAGCCCCGACGUCAUCUGAGGUUCAAGUUCCGUAGUCCCUCUAGAUAGCUGAGCACAGGAAGCUCAGGGCCCUGCGUUUCGGGCAUUUGAAGGGCUCUGCUGGUCGUGGCUUUCCCCACCAUCUCCUCCGUUUCCACGUGACUUGCUCCUGCAUACCUCAGCUUCAGUGCUGCUCCGAGAUGCCUUUCCUAAUCUCUGAACCAGGAGAGGCUUCCCACCACAAGCUCCUCUAUGGGAUUCUGGUUAACUACCAGUGAAACGUCCACCUUUCCAGCCCGCCUGUAAGCUAGGCCAUAACAGGGGCCGUAGCCCUCCUUACAGCCGCGUUCUUGUCACCUGCGUGGUUUCCAGCGCCCAGUCGCCUCCUAUGUAUUUGCCUUGUGAGGGAUCAAUCGGUGUCGUAGAGCCAUUCAGAGCUAUUCCUCUAUGAAGUGAUUUGGAUGCCAUGGUGACUAAGAAGCAUGCUGUGAUCCCUGGGGUUUAUGUAAAUAUUUUGUGCUCCUGAGCGUUCAAGUAGGUGGAAUAUCAACUUUACUAAGCCCAGGUGGUGGUGGUGUUUAAAUGCGAUUUCAUCUUUUCUUAUUUUAAUUUACGAAUUGCUCAGUUGAUCAUAUUAGAAAAGGGUACCCACAUUGUGCCUGCUGGAGCCAUAUCUUUGUAAAAAUUCUGAAAGCAAGGGGAAAUGUUGGAGUAAAAUUAUCACAUUUCCUAACAAUGUCUGUUUUGACUGGAAGCUCUGAUGCAUCAUUUUGUGUCAACCAGAAUAAAAGUAAUCUUUUUUUUCCUGGUGGUGCUUUAUAGUUAGAUUGUAGGGAAUCUUCAUAAAAUAUGCCAGCCAUGCACCUUUGAUUCAAUAUUCGUGUAUUCUCCCACAUACGGAAUUUCAAGGCCAUGUUUAAGGGGAAUGAAACGAGGCCUCAUAAAGAAUGGCAGCUUAUGCAGCUUACUUUUAAAAAGAGGCUCUGAGAAACCUUUAGCUUUUUCAAACUUCCAAAUUUUAACCCCAAAUCCACUAGAGCCCAAAUACCCACAUUUGUCUCUGAAUAGUCGUUUGCUUUUGGUUAAGGAUGAUUACACUAGCACAAUUUUUUUUUUUUUGAGAUGGGUUCUUGCUCUGUUGCCCAGGCUGGAGUGCGGUGGCAUGAUCUCGGCUCACCACAACCUCCACCUCCUGGGUUCAACAAUUCUCAUGCCUCAGCCUCCUGAGUAGCUGGGACUACAGGCGAGCACCAUCACGCCCAGCUAAUUUUUGUAUUUUUGUUACAGAUGAGGUUUCACCGUAUUGGCCAGGAUGGUCUUGAUCUCUUGACCUCGUGAUCUGCCCGCCUCGGCCCAGUCGCACAUGUUUCCCUACGCAAGCUCCCUAUUGAUUGGAAUGAUGAAUAUUUCCAAUGGAUCGAUUUUCAAUGGUGGAAGAAAUUUGUCACUUGCAUAGGUUUGUCAUUUGCCUAGGCGAAAGGUUGCCUGAUCUUAGAAGCGUCAUUGCUUCUUUUUGAGAGGAAAUUAAAUUUCAGAAAAGGCUGAUACUAGAUGAAGUGAGAACUGAUUGAAAUUAUCAGUCACUCCUAAUACAUUUUGGGUGGACAGAGCCAUAUGGAGGAGCUUCUAGGCUGCACAUGAGAUGGACAUAUUCCAAAGGCCCAUGUGAAUAUACACAUCUGUAUUAUGGGAGGAGAAACAUAUGCAUGCCUUAGUAAAAACUAGCCAGUAGCACAGAAGAGCCAGCUUUUAAUGUGCAGAGAGCAGGGUGAGAAGCAGGAGACAGGCCCACUCUGGCUGGGUGGUUAGGAGUUGGUAAGUCCAUAGGGAGGGUACAUGCGGAACACCAUUGAGUGCUAUUAGCUUGGUGGCCUUGGGCGGCCAGAGUUGGCGUGGAUGGGUAGAUGACGUCAACAGAAGGAGUGAAUAAUCCUGCUGGGAGAUACUUUCUCCCCUCACGACUUUGCUCAGAGCUUGACACGAGGAUUUGUGUUUGAUAUGAAACACCAUUCAAGAGUUUUGCUCACAAUUUAUGCCGCAUAUGCAAAAACAAGCAGAAAAACAAAUGAAAAUACGUAACAUACGAUCUUCAAGAAUAAUUCAGAUAUUUAAAUGAAUGGGAGAGAGAAUUUUGCAAGCUUAAUAAUAAAACGGUUUUAAAAGAAGUUUGUUUCCUGUUUUCCCUAAGCAUAGUGUAUGCAAGCAUAAAAUUUCCAUGUGCCUGUCUUGCUAUCUGUCGGUGAGAAAGAUAUCAAGUUCCUCUCCUUUAACAGGUGGAUAUCAAUAUGUUUUUAUUUAUGAGUGGAUUCAUUUAAUUCCUGGAUAUGAUAGUUCUCAUAUAUUUCUAUAAGCCGAUUUCUGUGUUAUCAUAAAUUCUAAGUCAGCAUUUCUAUACCCAAAAGAGCAUUUAAAAGGUAUCACAACUAAUCAUUCGGCUACAACCAGGGCUUUAUCCGAGCUCCUGGAGACACAAACACAUUGAUCCUACAGAGAUGCUGAUUUCUCUGGUGCUGUAGGAAUCACCAAUGGGAAAAAACUGACUUUAAAAGUCAGUUAAGGAACUUUAAGAGUAUUAUCUGGUGUGUCUGAAGUUGGAGUUAUUUAGGUUUUAUUUUUUCAGACACCAAAUGACUCACCUACUUAGUGUUAAUUUAUGUUUAAAAAAAUAACAAUUUUCAUCUCUAAUUAAUGCUUCCCUUAACCCAAGCUGGACAUAAAGGAAGAUCAUCAAAUAAUAUGUGAUUUAGCUCUUGUGACACAAACAUGUGAAGGUCUGGGUCAUUUUGAUUCUGUUAAAAUGAGCUAAGCUUUUCAUUUCUUUUUCCUAUCAAGAAAGGCUCUCGACCGACUGUGUGGUCAGGGUAGGAGAGGCUGAGGAAGGAUGGGGGCCAUAACCUUGGGUUCGGUGUGAAGUCCGGGACAGCCUGGGCCUGAGGGACAGCUGCAGCCAGGGUGUCUCUGGGCUCCAGGGAGCUUCUUUGCCUAUGGGAUUCUUGGAGGGGAUCUGCUCUGUUUGUGAAUUCCCACUGCCUCACGGCUGAAGUCUGACACAUAGUACCACCAUCUUCCUGGAGUGACUGGGAGAGACACCUGGGAUCUUGCUGGGUCAAUAGUGACUGUGCAAGGCCAUCCAUGAUAAAAUGCGUUCCAACCUCAGAGACAUGAAAAUAAAAGUGAAAAAAAGAAAAGGCAUCUUAGAAUCUGUGAAAUGUUGUAAGUAAAAUAGGAACACGGUGGUUAUGUUUGGAUUAAGUACGGCUGUGCUCAAGACAAGCUCACCUGACUUCUGCCUCCCGCUUCUGCCUCCUUCGUGUGGUCUCCAGCCUGGAGCUGGAUGUUGGAGUGAACAUGAGUGUAAACACAGAAAGCGUCGACAUGUUUUCAACAAGGAAAUUCGUUUCUUUGCUCUGUGUGCUUGUGUGCCUGUCUAGGACCGUGUUGUAACUUCAGGAAAGAUUAGAAUCAGUGAACUCCUUCAGGGCUAGGACCAGGAAUUCUGUCUGUACUCUUUUUACCUUCUUGCCAUCUUUCCUCAAUUAUUAAUACAUUACUCUCGCACAAGGAGGCAAAGCUCAGAGGUGUUAGUGCUCUUUUUUUUAAAAAGCAACAAGUAUUAUAGAUCUUUAUUUUAGUAAAAGAAAAUUGAAUCUUUUGACAAGAGUUCCUAUACAUUCUCAUUUAGUCCAAAUUGUCAGCCCAGAAGCCCCAGUGAACACAACCUGAAUUUCAGGCUUUAUACCACACGAUACAAGAACCUGCAAAUAAAAGAAAAAUUCAGUGACUUUAGGAUUCUUCUUGCUUCUCUUUUGCAUCUGAGACUUCAAGAAUACAAUUCAAAAAUUUCUCAGCUUAAACAUUACAUUGAUUUAAAGUUUCAGAUAUUUCAAAACCCUUUCUCUGGAAUUGCCAUAUUUGGCCCAAAACCCAAGUCAAAACACCCUACAAGGGAAGAGCAGAGAGGACUUGUUACACCCAUUUUUCAGAUGAGAAGACUGAGGGACAGAAGAGCUGAGAAGGCACUACUGGUGCUCUGUCCUGAGUCCUGGAACUGUCCCAAGAAUACGGGCCUGAUGUUAGCAAGCACCUUUCCCACGACCUGGCACUACCUACCUUUCAUUGCUAUAUGGACCAGAGUCAGAGGAAGUGUGGGGCCCAGAGAGCGUGCGGGUGACUGCGCCUGGACCCUCUGUCAGUCAAGAUGUCCUUGGGUUUUCUCCUUGCUGCCCUGUUCCUUGUACAGCCACACCUAUCUCCAAACCAGCUGCAUCGACACCUUUGUUAUUAUGAGGAUUUGAUUCCACCUAGGAUGUGCAGCUUUUACUGUGAUCAAUGGCCUCUGAGAGUAUGGAGUGGAGGACAGAAGAAAAUGCAAAGCAACUGGACGUUCCAGAAUGAGGAGCUGUUCCAGAAUGGGGAGCCGUUCCAGAAUGGGGAAUCGUUUCAGAAUGAGAAGCCAUUCCAGGAUGAGGAGCUGUUCCAGAGUGGGGAGCUGUUCCAGACUGAUGAGCUGCACCUUGUACCUGCCUCACACCUGAUCACAUAGCCUUGAUGCCAGAAACCUAGAGUGCUCUAUUUAGAAACGUUAGGCUGGCAGCAGGAACCCCUGAAGAAACUCAGGACGCUAGGUGCUUGAGCGCGCAGCUAACCUGCAGGAGAAACAUCUCCCUUCUGCUGACCUGAGGCUUGACUCCUCUCCCACAGGAGGGGAAAAGAGGCCUCCACCCACAGUCCACUGUUAUCCUAGGAGAAAUCCUGUGGCCUCCUGCCCAGGAAGUGACAGAGAGAGAGAAGCUGAAGCUGCUUUAACCUUCAAGAUGAACCUGUUUCUUCCACGAGGUUUUCUCUUGCCUGUACACGUAUCUUUAAGUCCACCAGACACAUCCACGCUCUGCUCGCACAGCGUUGCCAGGGCCAGUGCCUUCUCUCCCAUCCUGUGUUUGCAUUUGCCAUUUGGUGGGCCUGUCCUGCUGACCAGCAAGUCUCUGUACUGAAUUUGGUGACUUUGAUCUUAUGAUUCAUGUUUCCCAGCGAGGUACUGUGUGUCUUUGCUAUGAAUAAUGUGUUAUUCAAGGGCUAGUUGGAAGAUUGCAUAUAUAAAUUGAAAACAUUUUGUCUAAAAAGGGG